AAUUUUGGACAAUGGGGGAAACCCUGAUCCAGCCAUCCCGCGCGUAUAAAGAACGCCUCUGGGUUGUAUUGUACUUUUGGCAGAGAAGGAAAGGCAUCCCCUAAUGUGGGAUGCUGCUGACGGUAUCUGCAGAAUAAGCUUCGGCCAUGUACGCGCCAGUAGCCGCGGUAAUACGUAUGUUGCAAGCGUUAAACGGAAUUACUGGGCGUAAAGCGUGUGUAGGCGGUUCGGAAAGAAAGAUGUGAAAUCCCAGGGCUCAACCUUGGAACUGCAAUUUUAACUGCCGAGCUAGAGUAUGUCAGAGGGGGGUAGAAUUCCACGUGUAGCAGUGAAAUGCGUAGAUAUGUGGAGGAAUACCGAUGGCGAAGGCAGCCCCCUGGGAUAAUACUGACGCUCAGACACGAAAGCGUGGGGAGCAAACAGG
rnacentral:rRNA from 1 species